AUGGCUGUCUUUGAUGACUUCUACGUCGGAUCCAUUGACCUCGGACGCCUGAACUACGGGACGAUCUCGCUCAUCCCCAAGGUUCCUGGUGCUUCUUACAUCCGCCAAAUCCGCCCUAUCACGGUUAUUAACGUGACCUUCCGGAUUCUUGCUAAAGGGUACGCCAAUAGGGUGACCCUGCUUGCCGACCGUAUUACCCACCCCAACCAAUCGGCUUUCAUCCAAGGCCGGUAUAUUCUGGAUGGGGUGUUGGUCCUCCACGAAAUCCUCCAUGAAGUCCGCUCCAAGCACCUCAAAGCGGUCUUUCUGAAGAUCGAUUUCCAUAAGGCCUAUGACACUGUUAGUUGGCCCUUCCUUCCGGAAGUUCUUCUGCGAAAAGGCUUCGAUGACCGUUGGGUAACUCGGGUGAUGCAGAUGGUUUCGUGUGGGCGCUCGGCCGUUAACAUCAACGGGGAGAUUGGUCCCUACUUCCCCACGUUUCGUGGGGUGAAACAGGGUGACCCUUUUUCCCCGUUCUUGUUUAAUAUGGUGGUUGAUGCUCUUGCGGCCAUCCUGGACAAGGCCAAGGCUGCUGGUCAUAUUCGUGGGAUCACCCCUCACCUAACCGGUGGCACUGGAAUCUCCCUGCUCCAGUACGCUGACGACACCAUCAUCACGGUCGAAGGCUCGGAUGCGGACAUCGCUAGUCUGAAAUUCCUCCUCCUCUGCUUCUAG
rnacentral:rRNA from 1 species